AUUGAACGCUGGCGGCAUGCCUUACACAUGCAAGUCGAACGGCAUCGCGGGAAAGCUUGCUUUCCUGGCGGCGAGUGGCGAACGGGUGAGUAACACAUCGGAACGUACCGGCUAGUGGGGGAUAACCCGUCGAAAGACGGGCUAAUACCGCAUACGCUCUUCGGAGGAAAGCAGGGGACCUUUGGGCCUUGCGCUAGUCGAGCGGCCGAUGUCCGAUUAGCUAGUUGGUGGGGUAAAGGCCUACCAGGGCGACGAUCGGUAGCGGGUCUGAGAGGACGAUCCGCCACACUGGGACUGAGACACGGCCCAGACUCCUACGGGAGGCAGCAGUGGGGAAUCUUGGACAAUGGGGGCAACCCUGAUCCAGCAAUGCCGCGUGGGUGAAGAAGGCCUUCGGGUUGUAAAGCCCUUUCGGCAGGGAAGAAAUCGGCGGGGCGAAUAACCCUGCUGGAUGACGGUACCUGCAGAAGAAGCACCGGCUAACUACGUG
rnacentral:rRNA from 1 species